AGACUAUGUUAGUGAUAAGUAGUUUUGCCGGGUAUAUAUUUCGUUGGGGAGAUGUAGAUAUUAUAUGUAACUGUGUAUAUUAUUAUAUAUAUAUAAUUAGUAUUUGAUCCAUCUUUGGGGAUUAGGAGAAUAAGUUACUUUAGGGAUAACAGCGAGAUUAUCUUACAGACUUCUUAUCGACAAGAGUAGUUGCGACGUCGAUGUUGAAUUAAAAUUUCAGCUAGGUGUAGGCGUUUAGCUCGUGC
rnacentral:rRNA from 1 species